rnacentral:rRNA from 1 species
GUGGGGAAUAUUGGACAAUGGGCGCAAGCCUGAUCCAGCCAUGCCGCGUGAGUGAUGAAGGCCCUAGGGUUGUAAAGCUCUUUCACCGGUGAAGAUAAUGACGGUAACCGGAGAAGAAGCCCCGGCUAACUUCGUGCCAGCAGCCGCGGUAAUACGAAGGGGGCUAGCGUUGUUCGGAAUUACUGGGCGUAAAGCGCACGUAGGCGGGUAUUUAAGUCAGGGGUGAAAUCCCGGAGCUCAACUCCGGAACUGCCUUUGAUACUGGGUACCUAGAGUAUGGAAGAGGUAAGUGGAAUUCCGAGUGUAGAGGUGAAAUUCGUAGAUAUUCGGAGGAACACCAGUGGCGAAGGCGGCCAACUGGUCCGAUACUGACGCUGAGGCGCGAAAGCGUGGGGAGCAAACAGGAUUAGAUACCCCAGUAGUCC